rnacentral:tRNA from 1 species
GCUUUCCUGUGGCUCAGUUGGUAGACCAUUGUGAUAUCAACGCAAAGGUCAUGGGUUCAAAUCCCAGGGAAAGCA